rnacentral:miRNA from 1 species
GAUAGCGUAUGGAAUGAAGAGA